rnacentral:rRNA from 1 species
UACGUAGGGUGCGAGCGUUGUCCGGAAUUAUUGGGCGUAAAGAGCUUGUAGGCGGUUUGUCGCGUCUGCCGUGAAAAUCCGAGGCUCAACCUCGGACUUGCGGUGGGUACGGGCAGACUAGAGUGUGGUAGGGGAGACUGGAAUUCCUGGUGUAGCGGUGAAAUGCGCAGAUAUCAGGAGGAACACCGAUGGCGAAGGCAGGUCUCUGGGCCACUACUGACGCUGAGAAGCGAAAGCAUGGGGAGCAAACAGG